rnacentral:lncRNA from 10 species
CACAUUCCUUCCUGUGCUGGCCCUGCAGAGGGAGGCACUCCCUGCUUCCACACUGGCCCACAAGCCCACACAUCUCAGCAUUCUCAGUUUUCUGAGUGUGGAGACUCCUCUGCUAAGGCACUGCCAAUCCAGUGAGUCAAGCCAGUGAAAGAACAGAGAUCUGUGCCCUCCUGCAGUGUUCAGACAAGGGUGAAGCGACCAUGCCGGGAGCCCAAGCUGCCUCUAGGCAUUUGUACAUUGAAAAUACAUAAAUCAUCUGAGGAGUAAUGAAACAACUGCAGCCCAGCAGAAACUUGAGGAGAUAAAAGCAUUGUUUUAAAAACAGAUGCAAAAUCUGUAUUGGACUGACAGUAGAAAGAAACAGACUGCUUGCUUUCAGCAAACCUGAGUUACAUGUGAAGGAGCCAUACUGCAAAGGCUACAGAAGGUUUGUUUUCUCAUGAAUGAGAACAGAAAUCAAUAUAUUCUACAAGAUUUUGGAGAUCACAUUCCGACUGGGAUUUUAAAAGCAGAUGGAAGAAAGGACAUCAUCCUAAAGAAGGAUCAAACUAGACCUUCAUAAGAGGCCCAGGAAAUCUUUGACUUUAAUAUUCUUAUCAUGGGUAACAUUCAUUUGGUUUUUAGUUGUUUUUAAACUCAGAAUUAGAGAAAAAACCUUAUUUUUAAUGAUCUAGAUAUUAUUUUCUGACUUAACGUCUUUAGUGGAAAAGAAAAUAUAAAGACAAAAAGGUAUAAAGGUAUAGAUAUUAUAGACAAAAGAUACAAGACAGAAAGGACAGAAGGGAAUACAUAUUGUAAAAUGAUAUAUAUGUUUGAAAUAUGUGGUUGACCCUUGAACAGCAUGGUCUUAAAUUGUGCAGGUCCACUUAAAGGUGGAUUUUCUUUCACCUCUGUCACCUCCUGAGACAACAAGACCAACUCUUUCUACACUUCAGCCUAUUCAAUAUAAAGAUGAUGAGAAUAAAGACCUUCAUGAUAAUCCACUUCCACUUAAUAAAUAGUAAAUAUAUUUUAUCUUCCUUACGGUUUUCUUAACAUUUUCUUUUCCCUGCCUUAUUUUACUGUGGGAAUACAACAUGUAACAUGUAUAACACAUAUAAUAUGUGUUAAUCAACUGUUUACAUGAUUGAUAAAAGCUUCCAGUCAUUUAUUUGUUAAGUGACUAUUAUUAGUUAAGCCCCUACAUUGUUCAAGCAUUCAAGUGUCAACUAUAUGUACAUAUGUGCAUGGUUUGACAGACCAAAAUAGUUGCCCCUUUAUCAACUGAGAUAGAUCUGAAGGUUAAAGAAACAAAAGUUACCCAUGGUUCAAGGGUUCAGUGCCUGGCUGACAUGGAAAAUUUCUAAAUUCCUAUAACUACAAGAAAAACCACACUCUUGUGAAACUCCAUAAGAAUAGGAGCUACCAGACAAAUUAUCAGACCUCUCCUAACUCUGUUUUAAAACCCAGGGCAUUAUAACUCUGAUUGGACAGAGGAUCAGCCUUUCAUUCUCAUUGUCUUUGUUGGCUUCAAGCUUCUUUUGAUUCUUUGUUCUGACUUAUUGCUCUUUAUUUAUCUGUAUCUUAGAUUCAAUCCAAACAGUGACAACUCCCUAAACACUUCUAUACUUACAGGUGUUCCAUAGAUUCUCCACACAAUCGACAUAACUAUUUCCUAGUCUUUGAUAAGACUGUAAUAUGAACAGAAUAUAAAUUAAUACUUAAAG